GCUUCCGCAGCGCCGUCGCCAGCGCGUCAAUCUCAUAAUCUGAAGGUCGUAAAUUCGAGCCUCACCGGAAGCA
rnacentral:tRNA from 1 species